UACGAAGGGUGCAAGCGUUACUCGGAAUUACUGGGCGUAAAGCGCGCGCAGGCGGUCCUUUAAGUCUGAUGUGAAAGCCCACGGCUCAACCGUGGAGGGUCAUUGGAAACUGGGGGACUUGAGUGCAGAAGAGGAAAGCGGAAUUCCACGUGUAGCGGUGAAAUGCGUAGAGAUGUGGAGGAACACCAGUGGCGAAGGCGGCUUUCUGGUUUGUAACUGACGCUGAGGCGCGAAAGCGUGGGGAGCAAACAGG
rnacentral:rRNA from 1 species